rnacentral:rRNA from 1 species
UACGUAGGCAGCAAGCGUUGUUCGGAAUUACUGGGCGUAAAGAGUGUGUAGGCGGUGCUCUAAGUUCGGUGUGAAAUCUCCCGGCUCAACUGGGAGGGUGCGCCGGAAACUGGAGUGCUGGAGCGCGGGAGAGGAAAGCGGAAUUCCUGGUGUAGCGGUGAAAUGCGUAGAUAUCAGGAGGAACCCCGGCGGUGUAGACGGCUUUCUGGACCGUAGCUGACGCUGAGACACGAAGCGUGGGUAGCAAACAGG